GGUUAAGAAAUAGGAGAAAAUAAUGGCACAUCAGGGACAAAGGAUCGCGAUCCCCCGAGGGUGACCUAACUCCAUAAACCCGUCCUCAGUUCAGAUUGUAGGCUGCAACUCGCCUGCAUGAAGUCGGAAUUGCUAGUAAUCGCCGGUCAGCCAUACGGCGGUGAAUUCAUUCCC
rnacentral:ncRNA from 1 species